GACGAACGCUGGCGGCGUGCUUAACACAUGCAAGUCGAGCGGUAAGGCCCUUUCGGGGGUACACGAGCGGCGAGCGGGUGAGUAACACGUGGGUGACCUGCCCUCAGCUCUGGGAUAAGCCUGGGAAACCGGGUCUAAUACUGGAUAUGACUCCAUGACGCAUGUUGUGGGGUGGAAAGCCUUGUGCGGCUGAGGAUGGGCCCGCGGCCUAUCAGCUUGUUGGUGGGGGAUGGCCUACCAAGGCGACGACGGGUAGCCGGCCUGAGAGGGCGACCGGCCACACUGGGACUGAGACACGGCCCAGACUCCUACGGGAGGCAGCAGUGGGGAAUCUUGCGCAAUGGGCGAAAGCCUGACGCAGCGACGCCGCGUGAGGGAUGACGGCCUGGUGUAACU
rnacentral:rRNA from 1 species